rnacentral:rRNA from 1 species
GGGUUGUGAGGUUAAGCGACUAAGCGUACACGGUGGAUGCCCUGGCAGUCAGAGGCGAUGAAGGACGUGCUAAUCUGCGAAAAGCGUCGGUAAGGUGAUAUGAACCGUUACAGCCGGCGAUGUCCGAAUGGGGAAACCCAGUGUGAUUCGUCACACUAUCGUUAACUGAAUACAUAGGUUAACGAGGCGAACCGGGGGAACUGAAACAUCUAAGUACCCCGAGGAAAAGAAAUCAACCGAGAUUCCCCCAGUAGCGGCGAGCGAACGGGGAGCAGCCCAGAGUCUGAAUCAGCUUGUGUGUUAGUGGAACGGUCUGGAAAGUCCGACGGUACAGGGUGAUAGUCCCGUACACCAAAAUGCACAGGCUGUGAACUCGAAGAGUAGGGCGGGACACGUGGUAUCCUGUCUGAAUAUGGGGGGACCAUCCUCCAAGGCUAAAUACUCCUGACUGACCGAUAGUGAACCAGUACCGUGAGGGAAAGGCGAAAAGAACCCCGGCGAGGGGAGUGAAAAAGAACCUGAAACCGUGUACGUACAAGCAGUGGGAGCACCUUCGGGUGUGACUGCGUACCUUUUGUAUAAUGGGUCAGCGACUUAUAUUCUGUAGCAAGGUUAACCGUAUAGGGGAGCCGCAGGGAAACCGAGUCUUAACUGGGCGUUAAGUUGCAGGGUAUAGACCCGAAACCCGGUGAUCUAGCCAUGGGCAGGUUGAAGGUUGGGUAACACUAACUGGAGGACCGAACCGACUAAUGUUGAAAAAUUAGCGGAUGACUUGUGGCUGGGGGUGAAAGGCCAAUCAAACCGGGAGAUAGCUGGUUCUCCCCGAAAGCUAUUUAGGUAGCGCCUCGUGAAUUCAUCUUCGGGGGUAGAGCACUGUUUCGGCUAGGGGGUCAUCCCGACUUACCAACCCGAUGCAAACUACGAAUACCGAAGAAUGUUAUCACGGGAGACACACGGCGGGUGCUAACGUCCGUCGUGAAGAGGGAAACAACCCAGACCGCCAGCUAAGGUCCCAAAGUCAUGGUUAAGUGGGAAACGAUGUGGGAAGGCACAGACAGCCAGGAUGUUGGCUUAGAAGCAGCCAUCAUUUAAAGAAAGCGUAAUAGCUCACUGGUCGAGUCGGCCUGCGCGGAAGAUGUAACGGGGCUAAACCAUGCACCGAAGCUGCGGCAGCGACACUAUGUGUUGUUGGGUAGGGGAGCGUUCUGUAAGCCUGCGAAGGUGUGCUGUGAGGCAUGCUGGAGGUAUCAGAAGUGCGAAUGCUGACAUAAGUAACGAUAAAGCGGGUGAAAAGCCCGCUCGCCGGAAGACCAAGGGUUCCUGUCCAACGUUAAUCGGGGCAGGGUGAGUCGACCCCUAAGGCGAGGCCGAAAGGCGUAGUCGAUGGGAAACAGGUUAAUAUUCCUGUACUUGGUGUUACUGCGAAGGGGGGACGGAGAAGGCUAUGUUAGCCGGGCGACGGUUGUCCCGGUUUAAGCAUGUAGGCUGGUUGUCCAGGCAAAUCCGGAUAAUCAAGGCUGAGGUGUGAUGACGAGGCACUACGGUGCUGAAGUAACAAAUGCCCUGCUUCCAGGAAAAGCCUCUAAGCAUCAGGUAACAUUAAAUCGUACCCCAAACCGACACAGGUGGUCAGGUAGAGAAUACCAAGGCGCUUGAGAGAACUCGGGUGAAGGAACUAGGCAAAAUGGUGCCGUAACUUCGGGAGAAGGCACGCUGGUGUGUAGGUGAAGUCCCUGCGGAUGGAGCUGAGACCAGUCGAAGAUACCAGCUGGCUGCAACUGUUUAUUAAAAACACAGCACUGUGCAAACACGAAAGUGGACGUAUACGGUGUGACGCCUGCCCGGUGCCGGAAGGUUAAUUGAUGGGGUUAUCCGUAAGGAGAAGCUCUUGAUCGAAGCCCCGGUAAACGGCGGCCGUAACUAUAACGGUCCUAAGGUAGCGAAAUUCCUUGUCGGGUAAGUUCCGACCUGCACGAAUGGCGUAAUGAUGGCCAGGCUGUCUCCACCCGAGACUCAGUGAAAUUGAACUCGCUGUGAAGAUGCAGUGUACCCGCGGCAAGACGGAAAGACCCCGUGAACCUUUACUAUAGCUUGACACUGAACAUUGAGCCUUGAUGUGUAGGAUAGGUGGGAGGCUUUGAAGCGUGGACGCCAGUCUGCGUGGAGCCAACCUUGAAAUACCACCCUUUAAUGUUUGAUGUUCUAACGUUGGCCCCUUACCGGGGUUGCGGACAGUGUCUGGUGGGUAGUUUGACUGGGGCGGUCUCCUCCCAAAGCGUAACGGAGGAGCACGAAGGUUAGCUAAUCCUGGUCGGACAUCAGGAGGUUAGUGCAAUGGCAUAAGCUAGCUUGACUGCGAGCGUGACGGCGCGAGCAGGUGCGAAAGCAGGUCAUAGUGAUCCGGUGGUUCUGAAUGGAAGGGCCAUCGCUCAACGGAUAAAAGGUACUCCGGGGAUAACAGGCUGAUACCGCCCAAGAGUUCAUAUCGACGGCGGUGUUUGGCACCUCGAUGUCGGCUCAUCACAUCCUGGGGCUGAAGUAGGUCCCAAGGGUAUGGCUGUUCGCCAUUUAAAGUGGUACGCGAGCUGGGUUUAGAACGUCGUGAGACAGUUCGGUCCCUAUCUGCCGUGGGCGCUGGAGAAUUGAGGGGGGCUGCUCCUAGUACGAGAGGACCGGAGUGGACGCAUCACUGGUGUUCGGGUUGUCAUGCCAAUGGCACUGCCCGGUAGCUAAAUGCGGAAGAGAUAAGUGCUGAAAGCAUCUAAGCACGAAACUUGCCCCGAGAUGAGUUCUCCCUGAGACUUUAAGUCUCCUGAAGGAACGUUAAAGACGAUGACGUUGAUAGGCCGGGUGUGUAAGCGCAGCGAUGCGUUGAGCUAACCGGUACUAAUGAACCGUGAGGCUUAACCUUACAACGCCGAAG